rnacentral:rRNA from 1 species
UAACGCGUGGGUAACCUGCCUCACANUGGGGGAUAACAGUUAGAAAUAGCUGCUAAUACCGCAUAAGCGCACGGUUCCGCAUGGAACAGUGUGAAAAACUCCGGUGGUGUGAGAUGGACCCGCGUCUGAUUAGCCAGUUGGCGGGGUAACGGCCCACCAAAGCGACGAUCAGUAGCCGGCCUGAGAGGGUGAACGGCCACAUUGGGACUGAGACACGGCCCAAACUCCUACGGGAGGCAGCAGUGGGGAAUAUUGCACAAUGGGGGAAACCCUGAUGCAGCGACGCCGCGUGAGUGAAGAAGUAUUUCGGUAUGUAAAGCUCUAUCAGCAGGGAAGAAAGUGACGGUACCUGAAUAAGAAGCCCCGGCUAACUACGUGCCAGCAGCCGCGGUAAUACGUAGGGGGCAAGCGUUAUCCGGAUUUACUGGGUGUAAAGGGAGCGUAGACGGCAAGGCAAGUCUGAAGUGAAAGCCCGGUGCUUAACGCCGGGACUGCUUUGGAAACUGUUUGGCUGGAGUGCCGGAGAGGUAAGCGGAAUUCCUAGUGUAGCGGUGAAAUGCGUAGAUAUUAGGAAGAACACCAGUGGCGAAGGCGGCUUACUGGACGGUAACUGACGUUGAGGCUCGAAAGCGUGGGGAGCAAACAGGAUUAGAUACCCUGGUAGUCCACGCCGUAAACGAUGAUUGCUAGGUGU